CCACGAACCAAGGCUGCCUUGCCAACACUCAAGCUGCCUUGCCUGAGUCCAUCACCAACUUAGACACACGUCCAACCUUGUACAUUGCUUGCCAACACUUCAGCGAACCCAUGCCAAGGGGCAAUGCACAAGCCCUUGACAUGAAUUCUGCCCGACAUACACGCCCAGCCUUGUACAUUGCUUGCCAACAUUUCAACGAACUCAUGUCAAGGGGCAAUGCACAAGCCCUUGACAUGAAUUCUGCCCGACAUCCAUCAAGUCUCAAUAUUAGGGGCUAACAAACCACCCCCACUAGUUGAACUCGACGCCCUCGUUGAGGUUGAUCUCAAGUAGUCCUCGAUUUGAUCUUCGAAUUGCCACAAUGAAUUCUCUUUCUCCCAAGUUGCAUCUGACUCGGGUUUGCCUUUCCAUUGAAUCAAAAACUAUGUUCGCCUAUUCUUUUUCUGCAUCCCAAGUAUCCGGUGGUCCAGAAUUUUCUCGAUCUCGUCCUCAAUCUGAUUGCACUUCAGGAGGAGCUUUCUUGAUUUUGUGCCUAUCUGGAUCUUCAGGAUCUUCCACAUAAGGCCGCAAGUAACUCACAUGGAAAUUAGGGUGAAUCUUCAUUCUUUCUGGCAGCUUCAACCGGUAAGCAACUUCGCCUACCUUCUCAACCACUUCGAAUGGACCAUCAUGUCUCGCAACCAAGGAUCUAUGCCUUACCCUGCUUUCUAUCUUUUUCCAGAUUUGCGGAGUAAGUUUCAGCAAUACCUUGUCGCCCACUUUGAACUCUAACAGACGCCUAUGCUGAUCAGCAAAUUUCCUCAUGCAUUUCUGUGCCACUUUCAAACUGUCUGCAGCUUUAUCCAUCAUCAUUUGCCUAUCAAACCUCAAUGCUGAUCAGCAUAUUUCUUCAUGCAUUUCUGUGCCACUUUCAAACUGUCUGCAGCUUCAUCCAUCAUCAUUUGCCUAUCCAAAUUUGUACCCAGCAAAUUGAACAAGUAAGUCCAAAACCUGCUUGUGAACCUUGCAUCCCGAUCACUAAUAAUAUCCUCUGGCAUAUCAAAAUGUUUCACCACAUGCUUAAAAAACAAUUAUGCAGCAACUUUAGAGGGACAUUCCGUUGGAGUAGCUAUAAAGACAACAUAUUUCGAAAACCUGUCGACCACCACCAUAAUCGAAGAUAGACCAUUGACUUUAGGAAACCCGCUGAUAAAGUCCAUUGAAACGGAUUGCCACGUCUCUUCAGGAAUUGGCAAAGGUCGUAGCAACCCAGCUUCUUUCUUCCGUUCAGUUUUAUCAAGUUGACAAACAAGACAGCUUUUCACAUAAGCUUCGAAAUCCAUUGAAACGAAUUGCCACGUCUCUUCAGGAAUUGGCAACGGUUGCAACAAACCAGCUUCUUUCUUCCGUUCAGCUUUAUCAAGUUGACAAACAAGACAGCUUUUCACAUAAGCUUCAACGUCUUGUUCCAUCUUUGGCCAGAAAUAAUAUCGCGACAUCAGCGCCAUCAUCCUCUCAAUGCCCGGAUGACCAGCCCAAAGUGUAUCAUGCGUCUCUUUCAACAACUUACGACGCAGCCUGUCACCAAGUGGUACAACGAUUCUCCCCCCUUUGAAAUGGAGAAGAUCGUCCUCGAUCCAGUACCAUCUCACGGUACCUUCCUUCACAUGAUUCAUUGUCUUUAUGUACAAUGGAUCAUUCGUAGCAGCUGACUAGAUCUUAUCAACAAAAUCUGACUCAAGUCUCGUAAUGGAAUAAGCAUCAGCAAAGACCUGUCUUUAUGUACAAUGGAUCAUUCAUAGCAGCUGACUUGAUUUUAUCAACAAAAUCUGUCUCAAGUCUUGUAAUGGAAUAAACAGCAGCAAAGACUUCAUUUCGACUCAAGGCAUCCGCAACUUGGUUGUGCUUUCCUGGCUUAUGCUCCCACACAAAAUCAUAUUUUGCUAAAACUUCCUGCCAACGUGCUUGCUUUGGACUCAAUUUCUUCUGAGUUUUGAAGAAAGUAUUUGCCACAUUGUCCGUCCUUACGACGAACUUUAUUCCCAACAAGUAAACAUGCCAGAUUUGUAAGCAAUGAACAACAGCAACCAUUUCUUUUUCAUUAGCCGAAUACCUUUGCUCUGCUUCAUUCAACUUUCUGCUCUCAAAGGCCACAGGAUGACCUUCUUAAACCAGCACGCCUCCAACAGCCUUCUCGGAUGCAUCUAUAUGCACUUGAAACGGAAACUCAAAAUCAGCAAGCCGCAAGAUUGGUUCUGAGGAUUUGGCUUCUUUCAACACACCAAAUGCAGCACAUCAUUUUUCCGACCAAUCACAUUUAACGUUCUUCUUCAACAAAUCCGUCAAAUGAGCAGCUUUCUUUGAGUAACCAGCAAUGAAUUUUCGAUAAUAAUUAGCCAACCCGAGGAAAGAUCUCAAUUCUUUCACAGAUUUAGGCUCCUGCCACUCCACAAUGACCUGCACCUUGUUCGGGUCCAUCCGCACCUAAUUUUGGCUCACCAAGUGCCCAAGAAAUUUGAUCUCCUGUUUAGCAAAUUCACACUUCUCCAUUUUCACAUACAACUUGUACUCCCUCAACCGAGACAGCACUUUUAUUAAGUGUGACAUAUGUUCAUCCAAAUUCCGACUAUAGAUAACAAUGUCGUCUAAGUAGACAACGACAAAGUCAUCUAAGUUCAAGUGUGACAUAUGUUUAUCCAAAUUCUGACUAUAGAUAACAAUAUCGUCUAAGUAGACAAAUAUAAGUACUCAUACAGCACAUCAUUCAUGAGGUUGCAAAAUGUAGCAGGGGCAUUUGUCAAUCCGAACGGCAUAACAAGGAAUUCAUGUGAGCCAUACCUCGUAACACAAGUAGUUUUAGACUCAUCACCUUCAGCUAUCCGUACCUGCCAAUAACCAGACCGUAAAUCAAGCUUCGUGAACCAGCAUGCCUUGCUCAAUCUGUCCAUUAAGUCUUGCACCAAUGGAACAGGAUAUUUAUUUUUCACCGUGACCUUGUUCAAUGCCCUAUGAUCAACACACAUCUGUAUCGUCCCAUCCUGUUUCUUUUGAAAUAAAACAGGUGCACCAAAAGAAGCUUUAAAUGGCUGAAUCAUCCCCGCAUCAAGCAACUCAUUCAAUUGUUUCCGCAAUUCAGCCAAAGCUUUCGGCGCCAUACGAUAAGGAGGUUGAGCAGGAGGCAUCGAACCCGUCAUCAACUCUAUCUUGUGAUCAAUAGCCCUCCGUGGUGGCAGAUUUUUAGGCAACUCUGGUGGUACAUGGCCAUUUUUUCGCAAAGAUUAACAGUGCACGGCAGCGCCAAAUCACAGCCACUCAGCCUUAACUUUUUCGCACACACACAACAUGACAUCACAUCAGCAAAGUCACUCAAAAUUUUAGCAACGCAGUCCGACACUUCAACCUUAACAUCAGGCUUCACUUCAACCACAUCAGUAAGGAAAAUCUCAUCUCCCUUCUUCAAACCUUUUUCAACCAUCAUGGGAGAAAUUAACGAAGCCUUUUGUUGAAUUUCUUCUCUUCCAUAAGGAUAAACAACUUUCACAAAACCAGGAGCCAUAUCAUUCAUGAUCAUCACUCCGUCCAAGUGAGGCAUUAGAACAAAGUGAUGUUUUCGCAUGAAGUCAAUUCAAGGAUCACCUCAAACUCUUCUAGAGGAAUCACCAUCAAAUUGACCUUCCUUUUCCAGUUCCCAACAGACUGUCCAAGUGAGGCAUUGGAACAAAGCGAUGUUUACGCAUGAAGUCAAUUUCGAGGAUCACCUCAAACUCUUCUAGAGGAAUCACCAUCAAAUUGACCUUCCCUUUCUAGUUCCUAACAGACAUAGGAACAUCAUAAGCCAUUCCCACAAUGGCUUGUGCUUUGGCAUUCACAGUCUUCAUGUAAGAGGGACAUUUCGACACUCUCAAUCCAUACUUAUGCACCAAAUUGGCAGAAACAAAGGUGUGAGUAGCGCCAGUAUCUACCAUAGCUAUCACACUUUUGUCCCCAAUUCUCAUUUCAAUGUGCAUCAGCAAGGAAUGAGGAUUCGUCUCGUUACUUGUAGCAUUCACCAACGAGAUAACAUUCAUUAUCACACUUUUGUCCCCAAUUCUCAUUUUGAUGUGCAUCAUCAAGGAAUGCGGGUUCGUCUCGUUACUUUUAGCAUUCACCAACGAGAUAACAUUCAACAAUUGCAAAGGAUUUACUAAGGCAGCAACAACUUCUUGGCCUUCUCCAUCCCGAUUAUUUUCUGUAGCAAGCAAAGCAUUUACCCGCCCCCGAUUCGGAAAGUUUUUGGCAAGAUGAGGUCCUCCGCAUGUCCAGAACCCAUCAGUUUUCCUGUUUGUGACGCCCUUGUUUUGAACAGCCCCAUCAACAGCCUUGCCCUUUUCAACGACUUCUUUUCGAACUUCCUUCCUCCAUUCCCCUUUCUUCUCCACCCGUUUCUUAGGUUUUGAAGUAGAAGGAAUAUCAGAAAGAGUACGGGUGCUGCGAUAAUCCACCAAGGAAUCCGCUGCAGCAAUUGCACUUGGGAGAUCCUUCAUGGUCUGUCUCUUAGAAAGAAUAUCAGAAAGAGUACGGGUGCUGCCAUAAUCCGCCAAGGAAUCCGCUGUAGCAAUUGCACUUGGGAGAUCCUUCACGUUCUGUCUCCUAAGUUCAUUCUGCGCUCAUGCUUGCAUCCGAGAAAUGAAGUUAUGCAAUUUGUCGUCCUCCAACAUGUUUUGAAUAUCCAACAUUAAGGAAGUGAAUUCCUUAAUAUAAUCCUGAUUUGAUCAUGUUUGCUGCAAGCGUUUAAAACGAUCUCUAGCAAGCCAAGUUACGUUGCUAGGCAAGAAUUGGUCAUUCAUUUCUUUUAUAAUUUUCUCCCAUGUAUCAAUUUUUGGUCUGCCCGCACUUUCAUCAUCCGCCAUCCUAGUUCUCCACCAUAAUUUAGCAUCUCUCGUUAGGUACAUGCUAGUAAUUGUGACUUUUUCCGCAUUUGGAACUUUGGCAGCCAUGAAAUAUUGUUCCAUAUCUCACAGAAAAUUUUUCAACUCUUUUGCACUACGCAUUCCACCAAGCGCCUUUGGAUCAGAAAUCUUUACCUUCAAGUGUUCUUCAUUGCCUUGGUCUGGAGCAGCCAAUGCCCGUCGAAGAACAGUGAUUUCGGCAUUCAAGUUUUCGACCUCCUUCUUCAGGUCUUCAACUUUGCCAUUCGUUGCCUCACAAGUCUGUUGGAUCCCAUCGCGAAACUGAUCUUCCCCAUCCUUUAGACGGUAAAUCUCUGUAAUCAGAUCCAGCAAAUCUAAAAGAUCAUCAGUCACGCUGAUUAGAGCCUCCAACUGUUGCACUCUAUCACGUAAGUCUGAAGUAGACCCACCAGCCAUGGCCACAAGUUACGACCAAAGCUUUGAUACCAGUUGUUACAUGGCCAUUUUUUCGCAAAGAUUAACAGUGCACGGCAGCGCCAAAUCACAGCCACUCAGCCUUAACUUUUUCGCACACACACAACAUGACUUAGAAUUUUCAGACUGUAGCCAAACUAAGAACACACAAAGAAUUUACGGGUAAAAACCCAACCUUUAUUAAUUCUCGCAGAAUAUACAAAGGACUCACGUUUUAGACUUGGCUCACAUAUGUUAUGCUACUUGCCUUUGCCAAAAAACGAAAUACAACAUAUAACAAGGGGCUGCCAAUGACAGUUUACAAAGGGGCAGUUAUGGGCAGUUUCUACCAUGUGUCGUGCACAUGCCUUAACUAAAAUAAGGAGCCAAAUAUGUUUGAAUUCGAAAUUCAAACCUUUCCCAUGAAAUGGCCUUAUCUUCGGUUCUUUGUAGCCAACAGCUCAUGUGCUUGGCACAGGUCUUCAACUUCCAAGCACAUGCCUUGCACACCACUUCGUCACAUGCCAUGCACAAUUGGCUCCAGCUUUGCCCACGUUUUUUGUCUCCAGCCCAGAUUUGCCUUGGACCUUACCUCGCCCUUAAUUUCAUAGCCACACCCUGCUAUAAAUUAGGUCGUCCCACUGAUCUGCGCAUGCCUUUGUCGAGUGUCAUGCUUCCGUUUGCCAUUGCCGAUGCCCACGAACCAAGGCUGCCUUGCCAACACUCAAGCUGACUUGCCUAGCUGCCUUGCCUAAGUCCAUCACCAACAUAGACACACGCCCAGCCUUGUACAUUGCUUGCCAACACUUCAACGAACCCAUGUCAAGGGGCAAUGCACAAGCCCUUGACAUGAAUUCUGCCCGACAUCCGUCAAGUCUCAAUAUUAGGGGCUAACA
rnacentral:lncRNA from 1 species